rnacentral:rRNA from 1 species
AGCAGCCGCGGUAAUUCCAGCUCCAAUAGCGUAUAUUAAAGUUUUUGCAGUUAAAAAGCUCGAAGUUGAAUUUCGGGGUUAGUAGGUUGGUCAUGCCUCUGGUAUGUACUGGUCUCACUGAUUCCUCCUUCCUGAUGAGCCGUAAUGCCAUUAAUUUGGUGUUGCGGGGAAUUUGGACUGUUACUUUGAAAAAAUUAGAGUGUUUAAAGCAAGCUAAUGCUUGAAUACAUUAGCAUGGAAUAAUGAAAUAGGACGUUCGAUCCUAUUUUGUUGGUUUCUAGGAUUGACGGAUUGAUUAAUAGGGAUAGUUGGGGGCAUUACUAUUCGAUUGUCAGAGGUGAAAUUCUUGGAUUUAUUGAAGACUAACUACUGCGAAAGCAUUUGCCAAGGAUGUUUUCAUUA